CCUACGGGAGGCAGCAGUGGGGAAUAUUGGACAAUGGGCGAAAGCCUGAUCCAGCCAUGCCGCGUGAGUGAUGAAGGCCUUAGGGUUGUAAAGCUCUUUUGUCCGGGAAGAUAAUGACGGUACCGGAAGAAUAAGCCCCGGCUAACUUCGUGCCAGCAGCCGCGGUAAUACGAAGGGGGCUAGCGUUGUUCGGAUUUACUGGGCGUAAAGCGCACGUAGGCGGAUCUUUAAGUCAGAGGUGAAAUCCCAAGGCUCAACCUUGGAACUGCCUUUGAUACUGGGGAUCUCGAGUUCGGGAGAGGUGAGUGGAACUGCGAGUGUAGAGGUGAAAUUCGUAGAUAUUCGCAAGAACACCAGUGGCGAAGGCGGCUCACUGGCCCGAUACUGACGCUGAGGUGCGAAAGCGUGGGGAGCAAACAGGAUUAGAUACCCCGGUAGUCCACGCCGUAAACGAUGGAUGCUAGCCGUUAGGCAGCUUGCUGCUUAGUGGCGCAGCUAACGCUUUAAGCAUCCCGCCUGGGGAGUACGGUCGCAAGAUUAAAACUCAAAGGAAUUGACGG
rnacentral:rRNA from 1 species